rnacentral:tRNA from 1 species
GGGGCUGUAGCUCAGUUGGCAGAGCGCGGGACUCCAAAUCCAGCGGUCGGGGGUUCGAGUCCUCCCAGCCCCGCCA